CGGGAUGGAACCCGAUCACAAGAAUGAUCACAGGAAUGAAGUCUUUGUAUAAUUCAGUACCAACAUCACGGAUCUGGGUGUGGACCUGUUUGCUGAUGAGGCUGAAGACCAACUUUAUGACUGUGUUAUCCAUUGGCCUUUACUCAGGGUGUGAUCACCCGCUGCUGGGACCAACAAAACUCACUCACGCGGACUCGCUUGAAGCAGAAUCGGGAGCAUGGCGUCAGCUCGUCCAAUGUCUUCGAUGAUGGAGCUC